GUCUACGGCCAUACCACCCUGAACACGCCCGAUCUCGUCUGAUCUCGGAAGCUAAGCAGAGUCGGGCCUGGUUAGUACUUGGGUGGGAGAAUGUCAAAGUGGCUGACU
rnacentral:rRNA from 1 species